rnacentral:rRNA from 1 species
AGAGUUUGAUCCUGGCUCAGGACGAACGCUGGCGGCGUGCUUAACACAUGCAAGUCGAACGAUGAAGGCGGGAGCUUGCUCCUGCUGGAUUAGUGGCGAACGGGUGAGUAACACGUGAGUAACCUGCCCUUGACUCUGGGAUAAGCGUUGGAAACGACGUCUAAUACCGGAUACGAGCUAAGACCGCAUGGUCAUUAGCUGGAAAGAAUUUUGGUCAAGGAUGGACUCGCGGCCUAUCAGCUAGUUGGUGAGGUAAUGGCCCACCAAGGCGACGACGGGUAGCCGGCCUGAGAGGGUGACCGGCCACACUGGGACUGAGACACGGCCCAGACUCCUACGGGAGGCAGCAGUGGGGAAUAUUGCACAAUGGGCGCAAGCCUGAUGCAGCAACGCCGCGUGAGGGACGACGGCCUUCGGGUUGUAAACCUCUUUUAGCAGGGAAGAAGCGAAAGUGACGGUACCUGCAGAAAAAGCACCGGCUAACUACGUGCCAGCAGCCGCGGUAAU